GACAAACGCUGGCGGCGUGCUUAACACAUGCAAGUCGAACGGAAAGGCCCUGCUUUUGUGGGGUGCUCGAGUGGCGAACGGGUGAGUAACACGUGAGUAACCUGCCCUUGACUUUGGGAUAACUUCAGGAAACUGGGGCUAAUACCGGAUAGGAGCUCCUGCUGCAUGGUGGGGGUUGGAAAGUUUCGGCGGUUGGGGAUGGACUCGCGGCUUAUCAGCUUGUUGGUGGGGUAGUGGCUUACCAAGGCUUUGACGGGUAGCCGGCCUGAGAGGGUGACCGGCCACAUUGGGACUGAGAUACGGACCAGACUCCUACGGGAGGCAGCAGUGGGGAAUAUUGCACAAUGGGCGGAAGCCUGAUGCAGCAACGCCGCGUGCGGGAUGACGGCCUUCGGGUUGUAAACCGCUUUCGCCUGUGACGAAGCGUGAGUGACGGUAAUGGGUAAAGAAGCACCGGCUAACUACGUG
rnacentral:rRNA from 1 species